rnacentral:rRNA from 1 species
AUUGAACGCUGGCGGCAGGCCUAACACAUGCAAGUCGAGCGGAUGAAGGAAGCUUGCUUCCCAAUUCAGCGGCGGACGGGUGAGUAAUGCCUAGGAAUCUGCCUAUUGGUGGGGGAUAACUCGGGGAAACUCGGGCUAAUACCGCAUACGUCCUACGGGAGAAAGUGGGGGAUCUUCGGACCUCACGCUAAUAGAUGAGCCUAGGUCGGAUUAGCUAGUUGGUGAGGUAACGGCUCACCAAGGCGACGAUCCGUAGCUGGUCUGAGAGGAUGAUCAGCCACACUGGAACUGAGACACGGUCCAGACUCCUACGGGAGGCAGCAGUGGGGAAUAUUGGACAAUGGGCGAAAGCCUGAUCCAGCCAUGCCGCGUGUGUGAAGAAGGUCUUCGGAUUGUAAAGCACUUUAAGUUGGGAGGAAGGUCUGUAAGCUAAUAUCUUGCAGUCUUGACGUUACCAACAGAAUAAGCACCGGCUAACUCUGUGCCAGCCGCCGCCGUAACAC